rnacentral:rRNA from 1 species
AGAGUUUGAUCCUGGCUCAGAUUGAACGCUGGCGGCAUGCCUUACACAUGCAAGUCGAACGGCAGCACGGGGGCAACCCUGGUGGCGAGUGGCGAACGGGUGAGUAAUACAUCGGAAUGUACCCAGUAGUGGGGGAUAACUAGUCGAAAGAUUAGCUAAUACCGCAUACGCACUAUGGUGGAAAGCGGGGGAUCGCAAGACCUCGCGCUAUUGGAGCAGCCGAUGUCCGAUUAGGUAGUUGGUGGGGUAAAAGCCUACCAAGCCUGCGAUCGGUAACUGGUCUGAGAGGACGACCAGUCACACUGGGACUGAGACACGGCCCAGACUCCUACGGGAGGCAGCAGUGGGGAAUUUUGGACAAUGGGCGCAAGCCUGAUCCAGCAACGCCGCGUGAGUGAUGAAGGCCUUCGGGUCGUAAAGCUCUGUGGGGAGGGACGAACGGCGCCAUGAAGAGUGGCGAUUGACGGUACCUCCUUAGCAAGCACCGGCUAACUUCGUG